GCAAUAGAGCAAACUAAACAAAAUUGAAACGAUUUUGGUUUUGGAAUUAGUGAUUGUGGACAAAUCUGCUAAGUUAAUGGCGUUGGGUGUUUGCUGAUAGUACUGUUAUUAUUCAGAAAGCAGAUGACAUCGGGCUAUAUUUGUUUUUUUUAAACACUACAAGUUGUUUUUUUUCUUUUUCUUUUGUCAUGCUAUCUACAAUCCUUACCGCUUGGUGGCGGUAGUGCAAACCUACCGUUUUUUCCAAUCGCCAAUGAAACUCAAGAAGAAGAAGAAGCGGCUAAACUGUUUAGCGUGAGAAUCUUUGCAGUUUAAGACGGAAAAAGUACUGGACAUAAACUUGUAACAAAUCGUCGUGUCGACAGUUUUGCUGUUUAUCAGCCGACUUCCGAGCUGCCACUGGUUCAAGUUUUGACUGAGAGCCACCAUACCGUUGUCCCCAUCGUGUCGCGUUGAGUCUUGUCCAACUUUUAGUCAGUGGUGUCACGGGUGUGUGUGUGAUCCAGAAUCCUCAGCUUCACAGAGUCCACUCCCCACCAACCAAAGCGACGAGAAUCCUCAAACGGCGACGCUUCCCUGCGCCACGAUUUUGACAUCAGCAAAUGAUCUUGCCAUUCCCAGAAAAAAACCCGAUUGAUCUCAACCCCACGCAAACUUUUCCAUUUAUUGGAAUGGAAAAGUCUCACGCGAAGCCACUGCUGCACCUCUAAUGGACGUCUGGUCAGGGGUGGUCAUGAUUUAACC